rnacentral:rRNA from 1 species
GAACGCUGGCGGCGUGCUUAACACAUGCAAGUCGAACGAAGCACUUUUGAUUGAUUUCCUCGGAAUGAUUUCACUUGUGACUGAGUGGCGGACGGGUGAGUAACGCGUGAGUAACCUGCCUGUAANAGGGGGAUAACACAGAGAAAUUUGUGCUAAUACCGCAUAUUGAGUAAAAUUCGCAUGUUUUUUACUUGAAAGAUUUAUCGCUUACAGAUGGACUCGCGUCUGAUUAGCUAGUUGGUGAGGUAACGGCUCACCAAGGCGACGAUCAGUAGCCGAACUGAGAGGUUGAUCGGCCACAUUGGGACUGAGACACGGCCCAAACUCCUACGGGAGGCAGCAGUGGGGAAUAUUGCACAAUGGGGGAAACCCUGAUGCAGCAACGCCGCGUGAGUGAAGAAGUAUUUCGGUAUGUAAAGCUCUAUCAGCAGGGAAGAAAAUGACGGUACCUGACUAAGAAGCUCCGGCUAAAUACGUG